AUCGUCUUUGCAGCAUCUGUCUUCAACCUCUUUCUCACACACUCAGAGUCUCUGACCUUUCUCUCUUGACCAUAUUCGGCUGCAAUGCCCAUCUCUGGUUUCUGGAGAGCAAAGGUAGGAAUUCUUUCCGCUUGUAACAGUUUCUUCUUUAUGAAUGAAAUGCCUUCGUUGGAUUAAAAGAAUAAUUCCUAUUUCUGGUACUUGGGCCCAACUUCACAUCUGAGUUAGGGCUUUCUACUCAAGUUUUGUCUUUGUAAUCCACCUCCCAUUGCGUGUAGAGGAACGGAGAGCUCUUGUAGUUCAGGCACUUUGGCUUUUGUAGAUUCUCAGUUUGCAUUGCUAAUAGCCUCCAUGUCUUAAAGCAGCAGCAGAGACCAAAGUGUUCAAGCCAUCACAAAAGCAAAGACCAACAGUGUGCACGCCUCCCUGAUUUUCAGGUUCCGAUCUCUGUUCCCUAAUUUCAUUAUCUCACAUUACCCCCAGGGUUGGAUUUCUGUCCUCACUUGUUUUACAUACAUAGCUAGGUGAAUUAAGAUAUUACUCAUAUUAGGAGCUUAGAUAAUAACUCCAGGGAAAGAGCUUGCAUUUGAUAGCCUUCAAUUUCAAGAUUACAACUUUGAUCUUACACAAGGGAAAAUCAACACACUUUUAGAUCUUACAUUUUGUUAUUCAAACCCACAAGGCUAAUUGUUCAAAACAUGAAAGAAAGACAAGAUUACAGUGUGUAGAAACUAUAUGACUUGCCAGAAAUGGAAGAUCAUUUUGGCAAUUCGGCUUCACUAGUUGUAGGGACCUUCUCAUAUGAACCCAGCUCUCUCAACUUCUUAGGAAGAAAGCAACGACCCCCGAACUUCUGUUGCAAGAAGAUUAUCACAGCAAACAGUAGGCAUCCAAUAGGAAUGGUGACAUCCCAAGAAGUAGAGUAGAAGUCUGCGACAGGACUUGCAUAAAUGUAUGGGAUACCAUGUUCGUGAUGAACAGAGUUGUCAGUCCUGUAAAGGUCAUAAGCAUGUGGCAGAACUCGAACCGAGGUUGUCCCAAUGUAGAACCAAACAGAUAGAGCUCUUUCCUUUGAUUUGCAGACCAUGUUGAGAAGAAUUUGAGCAAACAGAAAACCAUCCAAGACCAAACCAGCAUAGGAUUUCAAGGUACCCAAAAUGGUAUGUACAUGAUUGCUAGAUUUCAUUAGAAGACCCAAAGUAACUAAAACCCCAAUGGCAUACACUGGUAAAGCCUUCUUUUCCGCAUCCCAAAGUUCAUUUUGCUUCCCAUUUGCUGAUCUUGCUGACCAACUCUGCUGCAGAAGACGGAAUUGCAGCAAGAAAGCUACCAUCGUUACUAACCUUACAAUUAUCUCAUUAACUUCAAGCCAUCCACCACUUCCCAGUAACACAUCUUGGCGGUUGGUGUUGUGAGUGAACAUGGCAUCAAAAUUUAGCAUAAGAGGUAUCAUGUAGCCAAGGGUCAGAAUUAAUAGCAUUAAGAUGGAAAUAGAGGGAAGCACAUCAGGAUGUUUUUUCACAUGGAAGAGUUGUACUGCGACAAAAACACAUGCGAGUGUUGUUGAUAUAAGAACCAAUGUGAUCUCCAUAUCCAUCCUCCAAAUGGAUCGUUCUGCUUCAAUCAGGUAAUCAGCAGCUGAAUUUAAAGCCAAUCGCUCGAAAUGAAGAGGAUCAGACUUUUUUCGUGUGCUUUCAAUGCUUACCUCAAUAUAACCUGUAUUGUUACUGUGUUGAUUUGUUGGAGGGAACUGAAAAUUGACAAGAAUCUCACAAUCUACAGAAUCUUUAGUGGUCUGUUGAUUACUGUUGAAGCCAACAUCUCGACAGCCUGUCAUGCACAGGCUUCCUUCUACAGCAUCAUAGAGCCCUUCUGCUGAAAUCUGCAUUUCCUUUGUUUGUAUUGUAUGGCCUGACUUUCCAGCAGAUUUCUCCAGCAGUUCGAUGUUUAUUCUGUAGCUAAUAUUGGUGGGGUUGCUACAGUUGUAGCUGUAUCUCAUCACAGGAAAGGAGCUCAAAGGAGCUAGAGAGUACCUUACAUCUCCAAUUGCAUUUGAAUAUUGUGUUGAAGAUAAAUACUGCUCAUAGAACUGAUUGCCAACAGAAAGAGGAUCAGAAUUUCCCCAUGCACCUUGUCCUUUAGAACUUUUUGCUGACAUAUCGAAUUUCAUGUCGUAAGAAAACGGACUUGGGUACAUGUUUCUCUUCUGAUCAUUAGCAGCAGACUUCUUUUUUGGGCACAACUUAGUUACCUGGUCUAUUUUAGUAUACACAUAUUUUGGCCCUGGAACUAGAACCCUUCCCGCCUCACUCUGACGAGUUUGAAAUGUGAUCUUGUCAAAGUAACCUGACUCAGUCUUGGAUUUGCUGCUCCAAAUAUGCCCCACGACACUACUAGUGUCUCCGAUUGUCCAUAUUGCAGGAAAUCUCAUGCUCAAUCUAGUUGAACAGUCAUCCACAUGAGAAUUGUUGAAAGAAUCUGUUACAGCCUGGAAGAAUUUACAAGCAGCAAAUUGUAUUCGACUUUUUUGUGCAUCCCAUGAGCCUUCCGCGAUGAAACUUGUAUUGGGGUUGAAAGGCCUCUGAUACCAGUUGUUGCUACUGUCUGAAAAUUCCACCAGUACUCUCAACCUUCUAGUAUACUCUGUACACUCGAUAUCCUUGAACGACAGCAGACGGGGCAAAUGAUCAGAUACGCCAAGUGGAGUGCAGUUCUUUGCAGAAACGCACUGGCUUGAAUAUUUGAGAUCAAAUUCAUACUUUAGUACUACUGUUGAGAGUUGUGAACAAAAUCUCUCCAAGUGCAAAGAACUAGGGGGAUCAUGAUCAUCAAUUCCAACAGAAGAGCUGUUAUCAUUAGAGUUAUUUGAAACCCAAGUAUACUGGUAGUUCAUCUGAGGAAGCAACAAAAUAGAAAUUGGAUCAAAAUAUUUUGCAUCCUUGAUCAUAUCAGAACCGCUGAUCAAACUCUCUAAUGUUCCAGUAAUCAAACUUGUAAUAUUAGUGGAAUUCAUGACAUUAUAGAGCUUAAGAACAGCAGGAUAAUGAAGCAUAGUUUUCCAGUAAGUGUGACCAUAACCAACCAUACAAAGCUUCCCAGAAGAUUCUGACCAGAACCCGUUGAGUCUAAAGCUAACUGACCUUUGAUAUGCUGGAUUUGAUCGAGUCCUGUAGCCUGGAUAAGGCUGGCUGCUGCUGGAGUUUCCUACAUAGUAUAACAUACUCGCCUUUUCCACAUGAAGAGUUGCUCCUAACUUGAACAAGCCUUCCACAUCAGUUGCUUCAAAAUUCCAUUUGCUGAAUUCAAUUGAAUUACGAACUUGUUGAUGGUAAAACGAUGAGUUGCCAUUAGGACUAUUGGCAGUGUCACCAGCAGUGUAGUAGUAACCUGUAUGGCUGAAGGCAAAGGGAUGAAGUCCUCGAUAUAUUUUUGAGUUUGCUUCAGGAACAACUGAAGCACAGUGAUCCGCAUAAGCGAGUUCAUCGUGUGAAACAGAGGAUGAGAUUAAAUUCAAUGAUAGGGAGGUGAAAGCAAAGAAGAUCAUGACAACUUGACAAGCUUUGGCUUUCUGAGGAUAGUCAUAGCUUCUCUGUUAGUAUUUAUGUUUUGGGAGAACGGGAGAAGAAGAACAAUAGGCAAUGCAGUUUUGAAAGGUUGUGAUGGUUCUUAUGUACUAAAGACAGUCUGAAGUACCAGGUCAACCUUCAUCCACUACUACCUAGUAUUACCACAGUCCAGAAGUUAUUACUGAUAGUUUAGAUGAAACCAAUAGACCUAUUUUUUACUUUCCCCAAGUUAAUUUCAUAACAAAAAAUUAAUCAUUUUUCAAGUCUAGUGUAAAAAACAUUUACCCCAACACAGUGAGUACAUUAACCUUUACCAAGAAGGGCUGUUGGGGACGCAGUCGGGACUGCCAUUCCUAUUUUGUUACUCACCAAGAUAAGUGUGAUUAGGGUAUAUGGAUUCCAUAAGACUCAAAGAUGAUAGCUUACACAGUAAUGAUAUUUUGUCAUAUCUUGGCCCUUGUAUUGGUUUGAACUUUAAAGAUUCCAAAGUUAUCAUAGGAUUUGUAUCAUCUGGUCAGCUGGUCUUAUCCCAAGUCAUCAUAACUUGGAAAAUGUUGGCAUGACAAUACAUCGCUAGUAGCUUUCAUUUGGACCAACUUAGGGUCAGUAGUCUAGAUUGAAAUUCUGAUAUUAUUUGUUCAAGCUUAUAAUAUGUUCAGUAGCAUAACUUCUUAUCAUCCUUUUCUUUUGUCUUAGCAUACAGAAUAAAAGUUGUUUUCCUUGCAAAUUUUCUUGUUUCUGUGAAGUAAACAGAGUGCAUAUGUUAAAAGGUAGAGUCCAAUGGCAGUUCUGACUUCUGAGCAAAGAGUAUGAAAGAAAAACAAAAUGACUAGACUUUGACUGACUCUAGUCCAAUUGGAUGAGCAGAGCAUAGAGGUUGUUGAUAUUUUCCUUCUUGUCGAUCAAUCCCAUAAACUUGUUCUGAGAAGUUUCCUUGUUUUUGGGUCCAUAACAAAGUACAUAUACCAUUGGUAACUCCGGUGCUUUAAUUAUUUCAAUGCCUCUAAAUGUAACUACAAAACAUCACCAAAGUAUUAUGCUGAAUUUGAUGCCAUAUGUAUAUAGUAAUAACCCAUGUCCAUAUUGGUAUUGGUAUUGCUGUCUCCAUCUUAGUACUAUCUUUCUCAGGAAGCUCAGCCCUGAAUGAGUUUAAAGUUGUUAUAUCAUUGCUCAUAUAUUAAUGUUUCCUAAAGCUCAACGACUACAAAAAGAAAAGAAAAGAAAGUAUACACGAAAUGGAAAAACGCAUGCUGAAUAAGAUGAACUGAUGGAUUUAUAUCCUGUUUCAUUAUCGUAUUAGUUCCUUAGUUAUGUAACUUGUAUUUUUGCAUUGCUUUUUGUUCUUGCUUUUAUUUUAUUUGAUGUAUCUUUAAAUCUUCCAGUACGGAUAUAUCCACACACAAAGACACUAACAUGAUCGCCAGUAAGCAAAACUAGCAUCUCAUAAUCUUAAUUUGUUCAACCACCUUGUGUUUGAAUUAUUCUGUUUCAUUCUAUGCUGCAGCUAUUCAAGUCCUUCAUGGUCACCAUUGCAUCUCAUUUCUUCCUGAAUCACCUUGUUCCAAUGGCAGACAAAUAAUACUACACUGGUGGUGACAGGGGCAUUGCUGAGCUCUGAUCUGCCUUUCCAGAUAAAUCAAAUUUCCAGGUACUUUUUCGAGUUUGCUUGCCUCUUUGACAGUAUACAUUAAAUAACUGGCAUAUGGAUUUUUGCUCUUCACUUUGUAUGUAUUUAUUUGCUUUAUAGCUAAGUGCAUCAAGUUUAGAAUAAAACUUGAGUAUUCAAUCAACUAAGCGCCUUCCUAAUUAGUCUUACGUUGCCACCUAAUAGUUUCAACUGACUUUGUUGCGUGAGGAUAGUUUGAUAUCAUAAACUUUUGAAAUUAGAAGGUUUCUAUUAUACGAGAUAAAAGUGGAAGUGCAUACAUUAAAGCGGAUAAAACUAAAAGGCUUAAAUCUUACAUUCUUCUUUUUCUUCAAUAUACCAAAAGCCUAGGCAUUUUAAAUAGGAAAGGAAACAAAGGGGUCCAGAUAUGAAGUCUGUCCAAUUCUGUCAUUGACUAUGAUUGAGCUUCCACUGACCAUGAAUACCAGAAAUGGAGUGCUACACUAGAAUACUAGAUUACCUUGGCAACUCAUCUUCGCUAACUGAAGGGACUUCCUCAUACAAACCCUGCUCUCUCAACUUUUUAGGAAGAAAGCAGCGACCCCCAAACUUCUGCUGCAAGAAAAUGAUCAGAGAAAACAGUAGACCUCCAAUAGGAAUAAUUACAUCCCAAGAAGUAGAGUAGAAAUCUGC
rnacentral:lncRNA from 1 species